CUUGAACUCCUGACCUCAGGUGAUCCACCUGCCUUGGUCUCCCAAAGUGCUGGGAUUAUAGGUGUGAGCCACGGCGCCCAGCCACACUGAUCCUUUCUUUUGCAGUCUUCCACUAAUCCCAUCUCGUGUAUUAUUUCUCUGACACUACUUUUCAUCCCCAGAAGUACGAUUUGAGGCUUUUUUCCCCGUCUUUACUUAACAUACUGUCUUUCCUUUCCUCCAGCAUCUUGAACAUAUGGAACAUGGUCACAGCAUAAGCAUGUGUGUGCUCUCCUCUACUUGCCCUGUCACCUUUGUCAUUUCCAGCCUCCUCCACCCGCCUGUCCUUGUCAGUCCCUAUACCUGCUGUUCCUGAGAUGCCGCCUGUGUGAGGCCUGCCCGGCUCUCCCCCAGUCUCGCCUCUCCUGCCCCGGGGCAGGUGCUGUCGCCGGCAAGCGAGGAUCCGUGCUAGCGAACCUGCGCGCGUGGGGCUCACCGGGGCUGGGUAGGUGGCUACAAGAACCUGUCUCCCCGCGGUCACCCCAUGAGGUUGGCUGAGGAUGGGGCCUGAGACCCCGAGGGUGGCUGACCGCCCCGUUUCAGUUUUAAGGGGCAGGACGUGCUUGCGCCGGCCCCUUGGCUCCGCGCUCCGCGCCGCCUGACCCGAAGGGCCGUGGGAGCGGGGAGGGCCCAGUCCCUGUUCCGG
rnacentral:lncRNA from 1 species